UACGUAGGGGGCAAGCGUUGUCCGGAAUCAUUGGGCGUAAAGAGCGUGUAGGCGGUCCGAUAAGUCCGCUCUGAAAGUCCAGGGCUCAACCCUGGGAUGCCGGUGGAUACUGUCGAGCUCGAGUCCGGAAGAGGCGAGUGGAAUUCCUGGUGUAGCGGUGAAAUGCGCAGAUAUCAGGAGGAACACCAAUGGCGGAGGCAGCUCGCUGGGACGUGACUGACGCUGAGACGCGAAAGCGUGGGGAGCAAACAGG
rnacentral:rRNA from 1 species